GGGGAAAUAGCGCAGUGGUAGCGCGUCCGCUUUGCAAGCGUGUAAAGCUAUAUUGCGGAAGGUCCGGGUUUCGAUCACCCGUUUCUCCA